CACGUAGGGGGCGAGCGUUGUCCGGAUUUAUUGGGCGUAAAGAGCGUGUAGGCGGCCUGACAGGUCUGCUGUGAAAACUCGAGGCUCAACCUCGAGACGUCGGCGGAAACCAUCUGGCUAGAGUCCGGAAGAGGAGAGUGGAAUUCCUGGUGUAGCGGUGAAAUGCGCAGAUAUCAGGAAGAACACCCGUGGCGAAGGCGGCUCUCUGGGACGGUACUGACGCUGAGACGCGAAAGCGUGGGGAGCGAACAGG
rnacentral:rRNA from 1 species